AACGCUGGCGGCGUGCCUAAUACAUGCAAGUCGAGCGGGGUUGUGUAGAAGCUUGCUUCUACAYAACCUAGCGGCGGACGGGUGAGUAACACGUAGGCAACCUGCCCACAAGACAGGGAUAACUACCGGAAACGGUAGCUAAUACCCGAUAUAUCCUUUUCCUGCAUGGGAGAAGGAGGAAAGACGGAGCAAUCUGUCACUUGUGGAUGGGCCUGCGGCGCAUUAGCUAGUUGGUGGGGUAAAGGCCUACCAAGGCGACGAUGCGUAGCCGACCUGAGAGGGUGAUCGGCCACACUGGGACUGAGACACGGCCCAGACUCCUACGGGAGGCAGCAGUAGGGAAUCUUCCGCAAUGGGCGAAAGCCUGACGGAGCAACGCCGCGUGAGUGAUGAAGGUUUUCGGAUCGUAAAGCU
rnacentral:rRNA from 2 species